UACAGAGGUCUCAAGCGUUGUUCGGAUUCAUUGGGCGUAAAGGGCGCGUAGGCGGGCUGCCGCGUCCGGGGUGAAAUCCUCCCGCUCAACGGGAGAACGGCCUCGGAUACGGGCGGCCUCGAGGGGGGUAGGGGCAUCUGGAACUGUGGGUGGAGCGGUGAAAUGCGUUGAUAUCCACAGGAACUCCGGUGGCGAAGGCGAGGUGCUGGACCCCAUCUGACGCUGAGGCGCGAAAGCCAGGGGAGCGAACAGG
rnacentral:rRNA from 1 species